UUUGAUAAUAAUUUAAAGUCUAACCUGCCCAAUGAUUAAUUUAAUGGCCGCGGUAUUUUGACCGUGCAAAGGUAGCAUAAUCAUUAGUUUUUUAAUUGAAAGCUGGAAUGAAAGGUUGAAUAAGGAAAAUACUGUCUCAUAUUUAUUUAUAGAAAUUUAUUUUUAAGUUAAAAAGCUUAAAUGUUUUUAAAAGACGAGAAGACCCUAUAGAGUUUUAUAUUAAAUUAAAAUAUAAUAAAUUAGUAUUUUUUUAUAAAAUUUUAAUUUAAUAUUUGAUUGGGGUGAUUGAAAAAUUUAAUUAACUUUUUUUUUAUUAUAACAAUUAUAUUUGAAUUUUUGAUCCUUAUUAGAUUAUAAGAUUAAAUUACCUUAGGGAUAACAGCGUAAUUUUUUUGGAGAGUUCAAAUCGAUAAAAGAGAUUGCGACCUCGAUGUUGGAUUAAAAUUAAAAUUUGGUGUAGAAGCUGAAUUGAUUGGGUCUGUUCGACCUUUAAAUUUUUACAUGAUCUGAGUUUAGACCGGCGUGAGCCAGGUUGGUUUCUAUCUUUAGAAAAUUUUAAUAUUUUAGUACGAAAGGACCAAAUAUUAGAUUUAUAAUUAAUUUUUAGAAUAAAAUUAAAUUAUUUUGGCAGAUUAGUGCAAUGGAUUUAGAAUCUAAAAAUGUAAAUUUUUACAAAUAAUACUUGAAGGAUUUAUUUUUAGUUAUUUUGUCUUUAUUAAUUUUGUUAAUUAUAGUUUUGGUUGGAGUUGCUUUUUUAACUUUAUUAGAACGUAAGGUAUU
rnacentral:rRNA from 1 species